rnacentral:ncRNA from 2 species
CAACGUUCUCAGGGCGGGGUGUAAUUCCCCACCGGCGGUAAUGGCGCGCAAUGCGUCUAGCCCGCGAGCGCUUGGGGAGUUUCAGGCUUGAACUGAAGCGCUUCAAGGUCAGCAGACCCGGUGUGAUUCCGGGGCCGACGGUCAUAGUCCGGAUGAAGAGAGAACGGGA